rnacentral:rRNA from 1 species
UAAAGAACCAAUAUAAUUGGUGACUCAUAAUAACUUUACGGAUCACAUAAAUUGUGACAUAUCAUUCAAGUUUCUGACCUAUCAGCUUUAGACGGUAGGGUAUUGGCCUACUGUGGCAAUGACGGGUAACGGGGAAUUAGGGUUCGAUUCCGGAGAGGGAGCCUGAGAAACGGCUACCACAUCUAAGGAAGGCAGCAGGCGCGCAAAUUACCCAAUCCUAAUACAGGGAGGUAGUGACAAGAAAUAACAAUACAGGACUUUUUGGUUUUGUAAUUGGAAUGAGUUAAGUAUAAACCCCUUUACAAGUAUCAAUUGGAGGGCAAGUCUGGUGCCAGCAGCCGCGGUAAUUCCAGCUCCAAUAGCGUAUAUUAAAGUUGUUGCAGUUAAAAAGCUCGUAGUUGGAUUUCUGUUAAUAAUUUAUAUAAAGUAUUUUGAUUAAUAUUUAUAUAAUAUUAACAUAAUUCAUAUUACUAUAUUAUUUAGUAUAUGAAAUUUUACUUUGAGAAAAUUAGAGUGCUUAAAGCAGGCAUAUGCCUUGAAUACUCCAGCAUGGAAUAAUAUUAAAGAUUUUUAUCUUUCUUAUUGGUUCUAAGAUAAGAAUAAUGAUUAAUAGGGACAGUUGGGGGCAUUUGUAUUUAACAGUCAGAGGUGAAAUUCUUAGAUUUGUUAAAGACAAACUAAUGCGAAAGCAUUUGCCAAGGAUGUUUUCAUUAAUCAAGAACGAAAGUUAGGGGAUCGAAGACGAUCAGAUACCGUCGUAGUCUUAACCAUAAACUAUGCCAACUAGAGAUUGGAGGUUGUUCCUUACU